CCUACGGGAGGCAGCAGUGAGGAAUAUUGGUCAAUGGGCGCGAGCCUGAACCAGCCAAGUAGCGUGAAGGAUGACAGCCCUACGGGUUGUAAACAUCUUUUAUAAAGGAAUAAAGUGAGGCACGUGUGCCGUUUUGUAUGUACUUUAGGAAUAAGGAUCGGCUAACUCCGUGCCAGCAGCCGCGGUAAUACGGAGGAGCCGAGCGUUAUCCGGAUUUAGUGGGGUUAAAGGGAGCGUAGUUGGGUUGUUAAGUCAGUGGUGAAAGUUUGCGGCUCAACCGUAAAAUUGCAAUUGAUACGGGCAGUCUUGAGUACCGUUGAGUUAGUCGGCAUUCGUGGUGUAGCGGUGCAAUGCUUAGCUAUCACGAAGACCUCCGAUUGCGAAGGCAGCUUACUCAACUGCCACUGACAUUGCUGCUCGAACGUGUGGGUAUCACACAGGAUUAGAUACCCUUGUAGUC
rnacentral:rRNA from 1 species